rnacentral:rRNA from 1 species
UACGAAGGGAGCUAGCGUUGUUCGGAAUCACUGGGCGUAAAGCGCACGUAGGCGGAUGUGUCAGUCAGGGGUGAAAUCCCGGAGCUCAACUUCGGAACUGCCUUUGAUACAGCACGUCUUGAGUCCGAUAGAGGUGGGUGGAAUUCCUAGUGUAGAGGUGAAAUUCGUAGAUAUUAGGAAGAACACCGGUGGCGAAGGCGGCGACCUGGACGAUGACUGACGCUGAGACGCGAAGGCGUGGGGAGCAAACAGG